AUUGAACGCUGGCGGCAGGCCUAACACAUGCAAGUCGAGCGGAGCGCCGGACGGGUGAGUAUUGCCUAGGACUCGGCCUGCUUGUGGGGGAUAACGACCGGAAAAGGGCGCUAAUACCACUCCCUAUUAGAUUCGGCUAGGUUGGAUUUGCUAGUGGGUGGGGUAAAGGCUUACCCAGGCGACGAUCCGUAGCUGGUCUGAGAGGAUGAUCAGUCACACUGGAACUGAGACACGGUCCAGACUCCUACGUGAGGCAGCGGUGGGGAAUAUUGGACAAUUGGCGGAAGCCUGAUCCAGCCAUGCCGCGUGUGUGAAGAAGGUCUUCGGAUUGUAAAGCACGUUAAGUUGGGAGGCGUUACCGACAGAAUAAGCACCGGCUAACUUCGUGCCAGCAGCCGCGGUAAUUC
rnacentral:rRNA from 1 species